rnacentral:snoRNA from 1 species
CUGCAUUGAUGCCCUUCUUAGGACACCUUUGGAUUUACCGUGAAAAUUAAUGAAUUCUGAGCAGC